rnacentral:misc_RNA from 1 species
GAAGUGCGAAACGUGUCAUGACUUGCAGAUUCCCGAGAGCUGACGAAUCUCUGAAUGCAAAUGGCGGCCGCUUGACUCGGCCAUGGAUUGCAGAGUGUAGUGGUUCCGACUCAUCAUCCAAUCGCAACACACUUGUUGCGAUUGCAUCUGCGCUUGCACAACAUAUACAGCGAGCGUGAAAAGGCGAGUUAAGGGGCCACUCGCACCGAGUGCGCGUCUUAACUACGGAACAUACCACGACCGCAAGGUCCGUAACUUGUACUCAAACCCAUUACACCCCACCUCUGCAAUGCAGGAUUACCCGCUGAACUUAA